UCACCAUGGUUUAUGAUGUGGCGAUCGCUUCCUAAUCAUCGUUCUUGUCGAUCCGAAAAUCAAAAUACCAGCGUGAUAUUGCCUCGAAUAUGAAGCAGUUAUGUAAUUUGAUUCGUACUUAACAUUCGAGUCGAAGCUUGAGUGGCACAGGUUAUUUCUUACGGUGGAAUCGACGAGGGGAACUCGAACACCAGUUGUAGUGUUUGAAUUGUUGGAAGAAAUGGUCGCAUGGGAAUGUAGGAAUGAUCUACCUGCUUGAUUUAUAUCGGCUACGCUUCAUGUUUACAAGUCCCUCAAAAUGGCAGCCAAACUUGGAGAUUGCCGAAAAUUAGGUACAUGAAUGUCUUAUAACACACAAGAAAUGAGCGAAAUCCGUGUCUCAAGCAAAAUCGACCGGACCGCUCUUACAGAGACACUAUCUUAAAGUGUCUAAACUACUUGGACCUUGCACUUCUAGUAGCGUUACGGAAACCACGAGUACUAGCAGUGAACUUUUAGAAGGUGAAAGCAGUGUGCGUGGAAUGUUAGAUCAGCUGAAUUCUGGAAUGUUCUUGAAUUGCAAUGUAAACGUUAAUGUCAACUGCAAAGAAUGAUUAUUCUUAUCCUGGAAGUCAAUAAACAUUUGUUCAAGGACUGCAUUCUUUUGGAAAUUGAUUUCCAAGCACACGUGUUUGGAUAUCCUAACGUGUGUUUGGAUAUCUAAUCACGCGUGUUUGGAUCUGUUCUUUACCGAGUAUCAAGGAGUAUCUAUGUGAAUCAAAUGAGGCCUUACGCAUUAUUAAUGAGUUCGAGAAAACAUGUUCGCAUACUCGUGCAAUAUUUUGAAAGACUGGAAGACAAACUUCUUUAUCUCUGUGCGGCCAUGUAAUAUCCUCUAUUUCAUACUCGAAAUCUUUCUCUUGCUCGAAAUUUUAAAAUCCUAUCGGCCAAAGCAAGGAAUUUGCGAAUUGACUUUAUUGAGGUGAUACGAAUCUUGGUUCGAUAAUGGAGGUAAUCUCGCUCAAUAGGUCCAGUAAGGGAAGAGUAU